rnacentral:rRNA from 1 species
GACGUAGGGGGCGAGCGUUGUCCGGAAUUACUGGGCGUAAAGAGCACGUAGGCGGGACCUUAAGUCAGGUGUGAAAGACCGGGGCCUAACCCCGGGGUGGCACUUGAAACUGGGGUUCUUGAGGGCAGGAGAGGACAGUAGAAUUCCUGGUGUAGCGGUGAAAUGCGUAGAAAUCAGGAGGAAUACCAGUGGCGAAGGCGACUGUCUGGACUGACCCUGACGCUGAGGUGCGAAAGCGUGGGUAGCAAACAGG